UGCAACAUAAGUUAUGUGCGCACGACCAA
rnacentral:sRNA from 1 species